AUCAACGCUGGCGGCGUGCCUAACACAUGCAAGUCGAACGCGAAAGCCCCCCUCGGGGUGAGUAGAGUGGCGUCCGGGUGAGUAACGCGUGGGUCAUCUGCCCCGGGCGGGGAAUAACCAGCCGAAAGGUUGGCUAAUACCGCAUCGGGCAGCGCCUCGACCUCGAGGCGCCUGUGAAAGCCCUUCGCAAGGAGGGCGCCCGGGGAGGAGCCUGCGUCUGAUAGCUAGUUGGUGGGGUAACGGGCCCACCAAGGCCGCGAUCAAGUAGCUGGUCUGAGAGGACGGCCAGCCACAAUGGCACUGAAACACGGGCCAUACUCCUACGGGAGGGCAGCAGUGGGGAAUUUUGCGCAAUGGGCGGAAGCCUGACGCAGCAACGCCGCGUGAAGGAUGAAAUCCUUCGGGAUGUAAACUUCGCAAAUCUGGGAAGAACACAAUGACGGGUACCAGAUGUAAGCCCCGGCUAACUCCGUGCCAGCAGCCGCGGGUAAUACGGAGGGGGGCAAGCGUUGUUCGGAAUUAUUGGGGCGUAUAAAGGGCGCGUAGGCGGCCCUUUCAAGUCGGCUGUGAAAGCUCCGGGGCUAACCCGGAAAUGUCGCUUGAUACUGCUCGGGCUAGAGUACGGAGAAGGGGCUACCGGAAUUCCGUGUAGCGGUGAAAUGCGUAGAUAUACGGGAGGAACACCUGAGGCGAAGGCGGGCUAGCUGGGCCAACACUGACGCUGAUGCGCGAAAGCCUAGGGUAGCAAACGGGAUUAGAUACCCCGGUAGUCCUAGCCCUUAAACGAUGCCGACUUGGUGUCCCGGGUCUUCAGUCCCGGCGUGCCGGAGCUAACGCGUUAAGUAUCGGCCGCCUGGGGAGUACGGGUCGCAAGGCUGAAACUCAAGGAAUUGACGGGGACCCGCACAAGCGGUGGAGCAUGUGGUUUAAUUCGACGCAACGCGAAGAACCUUACCUGGGUCUAGAAUCGCAGGCGGAUAAGUCUGAGAGAUCAGGCGGCUCCGGGUAACCAGGUACUGCCUGCAAGGUGCUGCAUGGCUGUCGUCAGCUCGUGUCGUGAGAUGUUGGGUUAAGUCCCGCAACGAGCGCAACCCUUACCAGUGAGUUACCAUCAUUCGAGUCGGGGCACUCUCGAUGGAACUGCCGGUGAUAAACCGGAGGAAGGUGGGGAUGACGUCAAGUCCUCAUGGCCUCUAUGUCCAGGGCUACACACGUGCUACAAUGGACCGGUACAAACCGCCGCGAAGAGCCGCGAUCCGGGAGCCAAUCGGAAAAACCGUUCUCAGUUCGGAUUGGCAGUCUGCAACUCGACUCCAUGAAGUUGGAAUCGCUAGUAAUCGCGGAUCAGCACUGCCGCGGUGAAUACGUUCCCGGGUCAUGUACACACCGCCCGUCACAUCACGAAAGUGGGCUGUACUAGAAGUGGCUGGGCCUAACCCGCAAUGGGGGGCAGGGUCACGACGGUAUGGUUCAUGAUUGGGGUG
rnacentral:rRNA from 1 species